rnacentral:rRNA from 1 species
CAAUAGCGUAUAUUAAAGUUGUUGCAGUUAAAAAGCUCGUAGUUGGAUUUGUGGCUGUCACGGGCGGCCUAUCACUUAGUGUUAGUGCUUGCCUGUGUCGCCAUCCUUGGGUGGAGCCCGUGUGGCAUUAGGUUGUCGUUCGGGGGAUGCCCAUCGUUUACUGUGAGAAAAUUAGAGUGUUCAAAGCAGGCUUAUGCCGUUGAAUAUGUUAGCAUGGAAUAAUAAGAUAGGACCUCGGUACUAUUUUGUUGGUUUGCGCACCGAGGUAAUGAUUAAUAGGGACAGUUGGGGGUAUUCGUAUUUCAUUGUCAGAGGUGAAAUUCUUGGAUUUCUGAAAGACGAACUACUGCGAAAGCAUUUACCAAGGAUGUUUUCAUUAA